CCUACGGGAGGCAGCAGUGGGGAAUUUUGACAAUGGGGGAAACCCUGAUCCAGCCAUCCCGCGUGAGCGAUGAAGGCUUCGGGAUGUAAAGCACUUUUGUCAGGGAAGAAAAGGUUUCGGAUAAUACCCGGNACUGAUGACGGUACCUGAAGAAUUAGCACGGGCUAACUACGUGCCAGCAGGCGCGGUAAUAC
rnacentral:rRNA from 1 species